rnacentral:lncRNA from 1 species
UUUGGAUCAAACCUGAUCAUGACCUAUGUCAAUUAAAGAAAACCGCAAUAAUAGAAUCAUAAAAGGGAUUGAUUACAGAUUGAUCAUGAUAUUUAUGAUUAUAUCUAGAUUCUUAGCCUGAUGAAAAGUGUCAGUGCCGACAUAUUUAAUUAGUCCUACAUCGACAUGCUUAGGAUAGAAAUUAAGUACUUAAUUAUCCAAAAACUCAAAUAAUAUUUUCAACAUGAAUGAUAUACCGGUGGGUGCCGCAUCA